GAUGAACGCUGGCGGCGUGCCUAAUACACGCAAGUCGAGCGAAUGGAUUAAGAGCUUGCUCUUAUGAAGUUAGCGGCGGACGGGUGAGUAACACGUGGGUAACCUGCCCAUAAGACUGGGAUAACUCCGGGAAACCGGGGCUAAUACCGGAUAACAUUUUGAACCGCAUGGUUCGAAAUUGAAAGGCGGCUUCGGCUGGCACUUAUGGAUGUACCCGCGUCGCAUUAGCUAGUUGGUGAGGUAGCGGCGCACCAAGGCAACGAUGCGUAGCCGACCUGAGAGGGUGAUCGGCCACACUGGGACUGAGACACGGCCCAGACUCCUACGGGAGGCAGCAGUAGGGAAUCUUCCGCAAUGGACGAAAGUCUGACGGAGCAACGCCGCGUGAGUGAUGAAGGCUUUCGGGUCGUAAAACUCUGUUGUUAGGGAAGAACAAGUGCUAGUUGAAUAAGCUGGCACCUUGACGGUACCUAACCAGAAAGCCACGGCUAACUACGUGCCAGCAGCCGCGGUAA
rnacentral:rRNA from 1 species